ensembl:lncRNA
UGGUGAUACACAUGCACAGAAUAUUUUUGCAAGGCAAAACCUUACUGAAAGCAUGUGCUGCUUGCUAGGAGGCAGGUGGAACCAUGUCAGGAGCGGGGCCUAAACCGCCCCUGCAAUCUGGUGGGCACCACCUCUACAGCGAGAGAAGACUUGACCUUGCUUCUGGCCACGAGCAUUUUUUUUUUAAAAGCACCGGCUCCAACAGAAAGAGUCCAAACAAGAUUGAACGUGGCUUCAACAAGUGCUCCAUUAAUGCCGUCCUCCCGUCUCAGAGGCCUCCCCGUGUCACAGCGCCUGUGCGUUGCUCGGCAACUCUGAGGCUAAAUGUCGCUGGAGAUUUAAAUAGCUUGGUGAAAAAUGAUUGUUUCUUAUCAUACAGCAGUUUUUCUAGUGUGUUUAUUCCAUGAAACCAUGCCAUGCGUAUGUAGUAACCGUUUUCGAACAGCAAUAAGACGCUCCAAGCUGUUAGCGGUUUUUAAAUCAUUAUAAAUAAAUAUAAAUCACAGCCUUCAAUGGCUUUUUGCGGUACUUUUCUUGCCAAAAUGCAAUGCGAAUGUUUUAUAUCAUUGUUCAGUUAACCUGGAAUUGAAUGGAAAAACCUCUUGAAGGACAUACACCCAUGUUAUUUUCUUAGCUGUCUUCCUCUAAAAGAUGUAUGAUGAUUAAAAUCUAUAAAAACACACUGAACGCAAUAAACCAAAGGGAUUCCUCUUGAACAGUGAACUGCUUGAUAUUUCCUUUACAGCCCACAUAAGGUGUUCUGUGCGGCUCCCUCUGCUCGGUGGUCCAAACCAAAAACAUGGAGGAUGGCCUACAUUUUUACAGCUAAUCCUAAUGACAUUCUCAUGGCUGCCAGUCAUGCACCUCUCUCUUACUCUCUCCCGCUCCUAUUGAAAGCGCCCCUCAGCCCGUAUAGUGAGAGUAACACAUCAAUACCGAUACCAUUUUGCUCGCUUACUAAGCCCAAGGCCUCUGUGGUUAGAUCCCUCUGGCCUUGAAAAACCUUGUAAGUGUAUGCAUUUGGGCAAAAAAAAUUGGUCAAAUAUCAUUUGAAGUUCAUUCUUAUUCAUUUUUUCUACGAGGGAAUGACAAAAAAAACGUUUUUAAUAAACAUCUAGCUUGCAGACCGUACAUGCACAAAUAUGCAUGGUCCCCAGAGGACUCUCAAAUCUCAUCUCUAUCGUCACACAAUCCUGCGAACUCAUCAGUCGAAACGUCUUCCUUUUUUGGACUCGUGUGGCGUUUUCACAGCAUCAAAACAAUAUGAAUGACAUUGUUAAUCUGCGGACACCCCAUAGAGUACGACGCACGGCUUUUAAUACAGGUACACUGCACGAAAAAAGAGACGAGCGAGAGGAAAAGAGCAGCAGUAGUUGUACCAGCCGUAGAGGAACAAAAUGUCAUAUCUGGAUUUUCAUUGGUUACGUUCAGAAAUAAACACAACUGAAACAUUUAGGUGUGUCGAGACGAUUCCAUGUGAAGACAAAGAACAGAGGCCGUUCCUCUGUAUGCGUGUAGUAUGACAUGGUGAAGUACAUGCACACACAGUAUAUACUGUACCUUAUGUAUACAGUACCAGACAUUUUGUCAUUUCGAUUCAAUGAGAAAGCGUGUCCAAAAUUUUUACUGGUGUGUGUGUGUGUAUAUAUGUGUGUGUGAGAUUCAGUUACUUGGAUUCCAUCUGUUGGCGUACCUUAUUCAACAUCAUUCGAUUACAUGUGAGGUGCUGUAUAUGUGAAACAAUGACACAAAGGAAAUAAAAAAACUUUUCCAAUUUAACACCCCUCGCAUCAAUUUCUUCACAGGAUGAAAAGCCGCGGCACAUUUCCUCUCAGGCAAACCACUCAUUGUCCAGUUUCUAACCCGGAGAAUCUCAAUCUGAACAUACUUUAUUACCUCCAGCUUGAGCUAUUGCAGAGGCUCCGGCUAACAAUAGUUAGCCACCACGCUGCCAAAUGCGCAGAUCGCCUGAUGGGGGGGGUCUUUUUGAUUUCUCUUGUUUGUGUGAAGUCAUUCUUGCAGCGAGCUGCACAGUCUGACGUGCUGCUCUCUGUCACCAAUGGCUCGUCUGCAACGUAAAUCCAUCCAGACUUUGUAGCCCUUGAUGUUUAGCAGCAAAGUAUUUUGUUGCGUAGCAAAACCUAUUCAAAGAUUUAAUUUAAUGAAAUACUCUCAUUGAAUCCGAAUUCUCGCUUGUAAACAGUUACGUCUGGGACUUUUAUUUUGAAAAUAGUAUGAAAUAUGAGGCAGUUUGAAUUGCCUUGCUGUUGUACAAUAUAUUUUCCGUGGCUACCUAUAAUAAUAAUACAUUUCCUGAAGAUUUAAGACUUGCCCCAACUCUGACCACGUUUAAAACAAGACUGAAAACUUUUAUGUUCAGCUUCGCCUUCUGCUAAAUUUUUACCUACAUUGCACUUUUAACCUCUGCCUUUAAUUAAACAAUUUAAAUAAGAUUUUAAUUUAUAAUUUUAUUUAAUUCCUGCAUUUAUUUCACUUUAUUGUAUGAAAUGUUAUGAUGUGAAGCACUUUGAGUCUGCCUUGUGUAUGAAAAGCGCUAUACAAAUAACCUUGCCUUGCCUUGCUGUUGUCUGUUAAAGUAUUUAUGCUUUUUCAAUAUUUUGACCUUUUGAAAGUAUUACGCAGGGGGAAAAUAAAUCAAAAUGUAAAAUAAGUUUUUCGGGGGAUUGGCACUUGAGAACAAAUUCACAGCUUUUCCCUAUUUAUAGAAAAAUCAACCAUUAAAUUAUAUAGAAGUGAAUGUCCAAAUCACUAUCACUUAAUCCUGUGAGGAUGUUUCAUAUUCUAAGAAGCUGCCUCCUGUUUCAAAGUAGCCUUGAUACAUUAUUCUUUAAAGUGUGCAAAAAUAAUCGGAAUAGAGUUCCUUCCCCUUUCAAAUAGCCAAAUGAAAUUGCAAGUAUGCAUCAGAUGUCGAAACCAAAAUCAAAUAAUAAACCCUAAAGAAAAAUGUUAAAUGAGUGUGUGUGUGUGUGUGUGUGUGUGUGUGCGCGUUGCCCCUAAAGUGGGCCAGCUGAGGACGAGCCGCGGAUCGAGCACGUCAGACUUAUUUUAGAGUCGUCGUGCGGCUUCGGUCCAUGCGGAUCUGUGGGGCAAAGAUCCAGCCACGGACGGGUGGGGGAGCCCCAUUGGUUUCUGUCCUUGACCUGGAAAUAUCCGAGGGCCCGGUGCUUCUAUUAGAUUGAGAGCUCAAGUUCUACAUCUGCAGAGUCUUAUGCAAACUCAAUCACACAGAACCCAGAAAUAUCUCCCUUGUCCCCUUAUGCGACGCUGUCUUGGACUCCAUCGGCAACUGUAUGUUGUUAAAGGAAUAAAAGAUUGCAGUUUGAGAUAAUGAAUAAAAAUAAUAAUAUAGUCUCUUCCCAGGUGGGAAUUUGAGCUCAUCACCAGCGGGGAAAACAAACCAUUUCAAGGAAGCAAUGAUCAUUGAUACAACAUAAGCCACUGGCUGAAUGCACAUUAUCUUUUAAUCUUAACCUGCAGGCUUUUCUCCAUUCAGAGUCAUGCAGGAUGAAGAUACGGCACCAGGCAUCACUGCGGAUCGUUGCUUGUGCAGGUUAAGAGAGGACAAAGCAGGAUAAAAAAAAAGAAGAAAAAGAUUUACUCUUUGGAGCAAAGCUGCAGCACAGCAAUCAUUUACAGUCUGAAGUGUAAAGUGGAACCCGCGCGAUGGUAUCAAUCCCGCCGUGGCAGAAUGUCCCGAGAGUUGCCCCGUGUCUGUACAACAAGUAGAGACGUACUUACUGCGGUGCGCCCAAGCGAGGCAGAUUGCACAUUUUCUCUACGUCCGUCAUGUCAUUCAGACAGGCUUAAAAACCUUUCUUUUUUAAAUUUUUUUAAAAAGGGCUAAAGUUUUGCUGAUGCUAAGUCGGGUCAUGACCUCUCUCGCUCGUACUGCUGGAGACAAUCCAAGACUGAAGCGGUGUGGCAGGCACUUUGCAAAUAGCAUCGAUCUCGCCCACCUGCAGGCCCCCACCCCCCGCCCCCUUCCUCCCGCCCUCGCUGUGCAACGUGAUGAGCAGCGACCGCCCGAGACGCCACUGCUCACAUACAGAAAGAAAAAUAAAUAGGCAUAAAAAACCUGUGCAAACGCCGCGCACGUACGCCAAGUUCCUGCAUCUGAAUAUUAUGAUCUAUUUUUAAGUUAGAAGGUAAAACUAUUCUGUUAUUGUCCAACAAAUAUCGACUCCAACGCAUGUUUAGGAAAUAAUAUAUUAUAAUAUAGAUACAUAAUUUAUGUAGGUGGAUACGUGCUCUCAGUUGGUCCUUUUUCAAGUCACAUGGUGGAAAGCGGUUUGACGACACCUGGAAGUUGUUUGACCUUCUCCUGGAUACAUCUCUUUGAUACAGCUUCACAUUUCAAGUGUCACAUAAACUAUAUUGUCAUUUUAUUAAGUUGGUCUAUUCUCUAGAGAUGACAUCUAUUGCACGACGGUUUUUCAAUUGGGGAUUGAGUUUUUCUUCAUCCGAGACAAGGAACACGAAAGGACGGAGGAUGUUGAAUGCUGUACAGCCCUCUGAGGCCUGUUUGUGAGAUUGUACUAAAAUGUCAGUCUAUUCAGUAUACUAUUUUAAUAAAAACGCCUUUCUGUCUGAAAACCCCAAGCUCAAGUGGCCUUUAAAAGAUGGUAUCUGGUGUCAGAUCCGAGCGGCGGCACAGCGGAGAUUCCCCAAAGUCCCCCAGCAAUUAAACGUUCUGCUACGGAUCUCAUCUCUGUUCCUUGAUAACAUUCAGAUAGCUGUUAGCAUCAUGUCCUCGUGCUUAAAACGUUGACAGCUACAGGUGCUCGAAUUGCAAUUUUCUCGUCUCACUCACUGUUUUUUUCUGGGCAGACCGUGUAAGAAGUUAAGUGUUAAAUCAUUUAAAGGUUGUUGCGACAUGUUACAUUUUGUACCUUUUGACAAAUUGCAUGCUUAUAUCUCCUUCCGUCGCACUUGAUAAAACUCACAGGUUCACGCGUGAGCUUUCAAACGUAAGUUCCAACACACGAGACCGCCGUUAAAAUAUGUCCCACAUGUAAUGUGAACCUGUUGAUUUCGCUGCAGUGUGCGUUGGCGAGGAAGACACAAGGCCUCCUUGUCCGCUGUUGCUUACAUGAUCACUGUUGUCGGGGUAACGCGGCGUCACAAUAAAGUGGAGUUUGCUCCAUGGAGCUAAUUGGCGGGUGAGCCGCUCUCUCGCUCGGGCUGCCUGACUCCUAAUGAGUGUCCUCGGGACCACAGAGCCUCGGCGGCCGGCAUCGAGCGUUAUUGACCCUCCUGGCUCCUCCGGCCUCGGCCGGCGACGCCGAUCAACAGGUCACGCUCCUCCAUCACCCCCCUUCUUCUCCUUCAGCCAUGCACAGGCCGCCGAGCAUGAAGGCACAAUCCCACCCCAUGCACAGCACACUGAACAACAAGCAACGCUGCUAUGAGGCAAGGCAAGGCAAUUUUAUUUGUAUAGCGCUUUUCAUACACAAGGCAGACUCAAAGUGCUUCACAUCAUAACAUUUCAUACAAUAAAGUGAAAUAAAAUGCAGGAAUUAAAAGACAAUCAAAAACAGCAAAUAAAAUUAUGAAUUAAAAUCUUAUUUAAAUUGUUUAAUUAAAGGCAGAGGUUAAAAGUGCAAUGUAGGUAAAAUUUAGCAGAAGGCGAAGCUGAACAUAAAAGUUUUCAGUCUUGUUUUAAACGUGGUCAGAGUUGGGGCAAGUCUUAAAUCUUCAGGAAGUUUAUUCCAGCUGUUUGUUGCGUAGUAACUAAAUGAUGCUUUCCCAUGAUUUGUAUUUACUCUGGGAAUCAGUAACAGAUUGGUGUCAGAAGAUCUUAGUGAUCUUGAA